GACACUCAAAGUGGACACAGUGGAACACCUGGGAGAGAAAAGGAAAAGACCCCAUGAGUGAAGGGUCAGCAUGCGGCCCUGGAGUUGCCGCAAGUUGGGAUACUGCCCUGCCCAGCUUUGGGGGCCACCACGAGGGAGUUAGAGGAGGUCCUUCCCACUGCCCACGCCUGCCCCGGCGCAGACACCUGAUGGCAACUAGCAUGCUGUAAACACAUUUUGAUCAGUCAAGAGGAAAGGAAAUGAGCCAGUGGCCCAAAAGUUAGAGACACCAUGACACGGAUUCCCACAAAAUCUUCACACUGGAUUACUCCGUUUUUGCCAACCUUUGUCUAAUGGGCUCUUUUUUCUUUUUUAAUUAAUUUUUGUAUUUGGCAGUUGGGUUAAAAGUCAACAGGAGUUGACUGGUGGUGGUGGUGGUGGUGGUUCGAUUCUGUGAGGUUGUGGAAAGCAGGUCCACAGAUAACGUCCACCAUCUGUGUGGCAUCUGCGUGGGUUGUCUCUGGGUAUUCUGGUUUUCUCCCGCGUCCCAAAGCUGUGCACUUGAGGUUCAUUGGUGUGUCUGCAGGGUCCCAGUCUGAGUGCAUGUGAAUGUGUGUGAGCGUGCCCUGCAAUGGCAUGGUGUCCUGUCCUGAGCUGGUUCCUGAUGCAUAGUUCUCCUGGCCCUGCAAUGGUUGAGCACAGACCCUGCUAAGCAGCCGUGCUGGGGAGUGGACUUCAACCUCAUGUGGCUCCAGCCAGCCUGGAACAAACGCCCCCAAUGUGUAGAAGCCAGCCACCUGGCCGACAGUCACCCUCUAGGAGCUAAGAAGAGUUUGCAUACCUGACAGCAGGUCAGCCUGGAAGCACCAUGAACUCUGUGCCAACACCGUGCCAGCACUGUGCAGACAGGGCACAGCACCGAGCUCAGCGCCCCGCAAGCAAGGGUAAGCCAUGGCCCUGACCUGGAGAGUAGACAACGUGCUUCGGGGGGUCCUGACAUGCAUGUGUGAGCUGUGGGGUGCAGGAGAGAAGGGCGGGGUGGGGGCUGUCGUUGCCACUGCACGAGCAUGUGUGCACAUACAUACACACGGCCUUCUACCGUAGAAUCAAGUUCACAGAGACAAAUGUAGUAUCAACUGCAGAAUUAUAUUGAAAAUAUAAAUUCCACGCUUA
rnacentral:lncRNA from 10 species